rnacentral:rRNA from 1 species
CCUACGGGUGGCUGCAGUGGGGAAUUUUGGACAAUGGGCGCAAGCCUGAUCCAGCCAUGCCGCGUGUGUGAAGAAGGCCUUCGGGUUGUAAAGCACUUUCGGCCGGAACGAAAUCGCGCGGGCGAACAUCCCGCGUGGAUGACGGUACCGGAAGAAGAAGCACCGGCUAACUACGUGCCAGCAGCCGCGGUAAUACGUAGGGUGCGAGCGUUAAUCGGAAUUACUGGGCGUAAAGGGUGAUGAGGCGGGUGAAAUCCCCGGGCUUAACCUGGGAAUGGCGCUUGAAACUACGGGGCUGGAGUAUGGCAGAGGGAGGUGGAAUUCCACGUGUAGCGGUGAAAUGCGUAGAGAUGUGGAGGAACACCGAUGGCGAAGGCAGCCUCCUGGGCCAAUACUGACGCUCAUGCACGAAAGCGUGGGGAGCAAACAGGAUUAGAUACCCGUGUAGUC